rnacentral:rRNA from 1 species
AACGUAGGGGACAAGCGUUAUCCGGAUUUACUGGGCGUAAAGCGCCCGUAGGCGGCUUUUUAAGUUGGACGUGAAAGCUCCCGGCUUAACUGGGAGAGGCCGUUCAAAACUGAGAGGCUAGAGUGAGGCAGAGGAGCGCGGAAUUCCCGGUGUAGUGGUGGAAUGCGUAGAUAUCGGGAGGAACACCAGUGGCGAAAGCGGCGCUCUGGGCCUAAACUGACGCUGAGGGGCGAAAGCGUGGGGAGCGAACAGG